CUGUUGCCAUCAGGUAAUGCUGGGCACUCUGCAAAGACUGCCGGUGAUAAACCGGAGGAAGGUGGGGAUGACGUCAAGUCAGCAUGGCCUUUAUGUCUGGGGCUACACACGUGCUACAAUGGCCGGUACAAACCGUCGCAAAACCGCAAGGUGGAGCUAAUCGGAGAAAGCCG
rnacentral:rRNA from 1 species